GGGGAAAAUGGGCCAAUGGGGGAAGGCUUAUUCAGCCAUUGCGCCGGUGUGAAGGAGGUCCUCGGGUUGUUAAGCCAUUUUAGGUGGGAAGGAGGGCAGUUAACCAAUACGGGAUUGGUUUGACGGUACCGACAGGAUAAGGACCGGGCUACCUUGUUGCCAGCAGCCGCGGUAAUACAGAGGGUGCAAGCGUUAAUCGGAAUUACUGGGCGUAAAGCGCGCGUAGGUGGUUAGUUAAGUUGGAUGUGAAAUCCCCGGGCUCAACCUGGGAACUGCAUUCAAAACUGACUGACUAGAGUAUGGUAGAGGGUGGUGGAAUUUCCUGUGUAGCGGUGAAAUGCGUAGAUAUAGGAAGGAACACCAGUGGCGAAGGCGACCACCUGGACUGAUACUGACACUGAGGUGCGAAAGCGUGGGGAGCAAACA
rnacentral:rRNA from 1 species